rnacentral:rRNA from 1 species
UUUUAAUUAAAUAAAUUAACAAUAAGUUGAGUUUGAUUAUUAUUUAUAAAUAUAAAAUUAGUUUAAUAAAAAAAAUUUUAUAGGUUUUUAUAUUGAGUAUUAAUUUAGAAAAAAUUAAUUGAUUUAUAUUGAAAAGUAUUGUAAAAGAAAAUAAGAAGGUUUUUUAAAAUUAUAUAAAGUAAAUUUAAAUUUUUGUACCUUUUGUAUCAGGGUUAAAUAAAAUAGAAUUUGUAAUUUAUAAAUAAUCUCGAAAAAAAAAGAGAUAAUUUGAUAUGAUUUAUAAUGUAAAAAAAUUAUAUUAAAUAUUAAAUUUGUAAUGAAAAGUUAUUCGUUUUUUUUUAUAUCUAGUUUUUUAAUAAAUAAAUUUAAUUUAGUCAAUUUUUAUUUAAUAAGGUUAAUUUUAUAUUAUAUUAGAAAUAAAAUUGAUAAUAAGUUAUGGGAUUAACUAUAAUUUAAUUUUUAAAAAAAGUUUAAUAGUUUAUAUAAGAUUUAAUAGAAAUAGAAUUUUUAAUUUAAAAAAAAAAUGUAAAAAUUUAAUUUUAUAAUGAAUUUUAUUAAUUUUAAUGAUUCUUUUUUAAAAUUUUUAUUAAAAAAUUUUAUUUAAUAAUUUAGUAGAAGUUAUUAUGUUUAAAUUAGUAUAUAAAGGAAUAAAAUAAAUUUAAUAUUUUUUAAUUGGAUUAAUAAAUUAAAUUUAAGGAAUUCGGCAAAAUUUAUAUUUACCUGUUUAAUAAAAACAUGUCUUUUAGAUUAAAAUUAAAAGUCUGGUCUGCCCCCUGAAUUAUUAUUUAAAUGGCUGCAGUAAAUUGACUGUACAAAGGUAGCAUAAUAAAUAGGUUCUUAAUUAGGAUCUGGAAUGAAAGAUUAAAUAAAAUAUAAACUGUCUAAAAUUUAUUUUUUAAAAUUUAAAUUUUGAGUUAAAAUGUUCAAAUAUUUUUAAGGGACGAUAAGACCCUAUAGAUCUUUAUAAAAUUAAUAUAUAAUAAUAUUUAUUUUAAUGAUUUUAUAUAUUAAUUUUAUUUAACUGGGGUUGUUAAAAAAUUUAAUUAAAUUUUUUAUUUAAAUUAACAUUAAUUAAUGAUAAAUAGAAUUGAUAUAAUAUUAUUUAUGUAAAUUAAAAUAAGUUACCUUAGGGAUAACAGCGUAAUAAUUUUUUAGAGUUCAUAUUAAAAAAAUUGAUUGCGACCUCGAUGUUGAAUUAAAAUAAAAUAUAAAAGUAGAUUUUUAUUAUUUGGGUCUGUUCGACCUUUAAAAUUUUACAUGAUUUGAGUUUAGAUCGGCGUAAGCCAGAUCAGUUUCUAUCUUUAAAUAUAUAUAAAUUAUUUUUGUACGAAAGGACUAAAUAAUUAAAUUAUUAAUUUUAAAUUAAAUAAAUAUAUUAAUUUAAUAAAAAAAAUUAAAAUUUUGUUGUGUUUUAUAUAUAUAGUUUA